GAUGAAGAACGUAGCGAAAUGCGAUAAGUAAUGCGAAUUGCAGAAUUCAGUGAAUCAUCGAAUCUUUGAACGCACAUUGCGCCCGCCAGUAUUCUGGCGGGCAUGCCUGUCUGAGCGUCGUUUCGACCCUCGCGCCCGGCUUCUGUCGGGGGCGGUGUUGGGGAUCGGCCACACCCUUCAGUGGGAGGCCGGCCCCUAAAUUCAGUGGCGACCACGCUGUAGCCUCCCCUGCGUAGUACUAAAACCACCUCGCAGGCGGAGAGCGGUGCGGCCCGCCGUAAAACCUCCCAACUUUUACAAGGUCGACCUCAGAUCAGGUAGGAAUACCCGCUGAACUUAAGCAUAUCAAUAAGCGGAGGA
rnacentral:misc_RNA from 1 species